rnacentral:rRNA from 1 species
UACGGGGGGGGCAAGCGUUGUUCGGAAUUACUGGGCGUAAAGGGCUCGUAGGCGGCCAACUAAGUCGGAUGUGAAAUCCCCAGGCUCAACCUGGGAACUGCAUCCGAUACUGGAUGGCUUGAGUACUAAAGAGGGUCGCGGAAUUCCCGGUGUAGAGGUGAAAUUCGCAGAUAUCGGGAGGAACACCAAUGGCGAAGGCGGCUCACUGGCCCGGUACUGACGCUGAGGCGCGAAAGCGUGGGGAGCAAACAGG